rnacentral:tRNA from 1 species
CAAGCGGUAAUUUAAAUUAAAAUGAAGGCGUUGGGAGCCUUUAAUCUUCUAUCUAUGGAAGUUGCUUGA